rnacentral:rRNA from 1 species
CCUACGGGUGGCAGCAGUGGGGAAUAUUGGACAAUGGGCGAAAGUCUGAUCCAGCCAUGCCGCGUGUGUGAAGAAGGCCUUCGGGUUGUAAAGCACUUUCAGUGGGGAAGAAAGCCUUGGGGCUAAUACCCUCGAGGAAGGACAUCACCCACAGAAGAAGCACCGGCUAACUCCGUGCCAGCAGCCGCGGUAAUACGGAGGGUGCGAGCGUUAAUCGGAAUUACUGGGCGUAAAGCGCGCGUAGGCGGUCUGAUAAGCCGGUUGUGAAAGCCCCGGGCUCAACCUGGGAACGGCAUCCGGAACUGUCAGGCUAGAGUGCAGGAGAGGAAGGUAGAAUUCCCGGUGUAGCGGUGAAAUGCGUAGAGAUCGGGAGGAAUACCAGUGGCGAAGGCGGCCUUCUGGACUGACACUGACGCUGAGGUGCGAAAGCGUGGGUAGCAAACAGGAUUAGAUACCCCAGUAGUC